rnacentral:rRNA from 1 species
GAUGAACGCUAGCUACAGGCUUAACACAUGCAAGUCGAGGGGCAGCACAAGGCAGCAAUGCUGAGGUGGCGACCGGCGCACGGGUGCGUAACGCGUAUCCAACCCUCCCGUUACUCAGGGAUAGCCUUCCGAAAGGGAGAUUAAUACCUGAUGGUGUUCAAAUUCCGCAUGUUAUUUGAACUAAAGAUUUAUCGGUAACGGAUGGGGAUGCGUGACAUUAGAUAGUAGGCGGGGUAACGGCCCACCUAGUCUACGAUGUCUAGGGGUUCUGAGAGGAAGGUCCCCCACACUGGAACUGAGACACGGUCCAGACUCCUACGGGAGGCAGCAGUGAGGAAUAUUGGUCAAUGGUCGGAAGACUGAACCAGCCAAGUAGCGUGAAGGAUGAAGGUUCUAUGGAUUGUAAACUUCUUUUAUACGGGAAUAAAACCUCCCACGUGUGGGAGCUUGUAUGUACCGUAUGAAUAAGCAUCGGCUAACUCCGUG